rnacentral:piRNA from 1 species
UAAAUCUAUAUCAGCGAUGUCGUAAUUC